GCUCUGUGGUCAAGUGGUAAGGACACUUGUCUCUCACCCUGGAGACCCGGGUUCGAUCCCCAGUCGAGGAGCU